AUUGAACGCUGGCGGCAUGCUUUACACAUGCAAGUCGAACGGUAACAGGGUGCUUGCACCGCUGACGAGUGGCGAACGGGUGAGUAAUGCGUCGGAACGUGCCGAGUAGUGGGGGAUAACGCAGCGAAAGUUGUGCUAAUACCGCAUACGUACUGAGGUAGAAAGUGGGGGACCUUCGGGCCUCACGCUAUUCGAGCGGCCGACGUCUGAUUAGCUAGUAGGUGAGGUAAAGGCUCACCUAGGCGACGAUCAGUAGCGGGUCUGAGAGGAUGGUCCGCCACACUGGGACUGAGACACGGCCCAGACUCCUACGGGAGGCAGCAGUGGGGAAUUUUGGACAAUGGGCGAAAGCCUGAUCCAGCCAUGCCGCGUGUCUGAAGAAGGCCUUCGGGUUGUAAAGGACUUUUGUCAGGGAAGAAAACUGUUUGGCUAAUACCCGAAUAGGAUGACGGUACCUGAAGAAUAAGCACCGGCUAACUACGUGCCAGCCGCCGCGGUAA
rnacentral:rRNA from 1 species